GAAUUGCCAUUUCAUGAAGAAAUCAGAUAUUUGGCAGCGAGCUAGAGGUCUGGGUCCAGGCUUCUGCGAAGCGUUUGAGUGGACUUUUGCGGGUAUACUUCCUUUGUUUUCCCCUUCAUAUAGAGAGAGGGCGAGGAGAAAAAAAGGGAUAAAAUCUAAUUUGAACUCAUGCUGGCUGAGGAAAAUUAUUUUUAUCAAAUCCACUGUGAAUGACCUUUGCCACCUUGAGCAAACACGGCUGCCUGAGAAAUAGUAAACUGAUCCUGGUGUGAAGUGGCCCUUGUUGUCCGUGUAGUUAAGCAGAAGUAUGAGAUGACGUGACACUGGCAGCAGUGCCAGGCGGUGUUGUUGCAACCAAUGGGGGGCAGAGGACACAACAGAGAGUAAUGGCUGCUACAAGCCAUCAGCCCUCACACAGAUAAAAAAAAACACAAACAAAAAAAAAACACCGCCACAUUUCAUCUGCCCUGUUUUUCUCCAUUUUAAUUCCUUCUGUUUGUUUGUUUGUCGACCUUGCCAUGUCAGCUGACCUUCCUCUGUCCAGGACCCUGAAGAGAGAGGGGAAGGGGGAAAAAAAAGAAAGAGGAAACAAUAAGCAAGACGCUGACAUUUCUGUACAGAGAAGGAACAAACAGCUCAUACAAAAUGCCCCCCACUCCCCUCAGACAAAUUUACUCAAAAAUAUGUGUGUGUCUUGAACGUCCGAGGGCUGUCCGGCUCUCAGCCACCAUUGCCAAGGAAGUGUCACGGUGUCGUGACAACUUCAGCGACUGCAGUGCGAUGGGUGACCCUCGGCCGGCAGAAGGGGGGCGCUGAAUCCCCCGCCCACCCUGGAUCCUGACAGAUGUCAUAUACCUCCUCCAUGGGCACCUUCUGUUUCCUGUUCACCUUUCUCCAUCCUGCAGCGUUAGGGCUCCUGUCUCCACCUCGUCAAAGCACACACACGCGCACACACACAAACAGGGGGGAAUCAGACAAAGAAGGAGACAUAAACUUGACCGGGAUGGAUUUUUAAACGAUGUUUCUGGAUUGACAGCAGAUGAUUAUGACAAGAAGCAGUUUCCAUCUCAGUUCCAAGUUACAUUCCCAUCAUCUGUUUGCCCCAUCUAUUUAUGCUUUUUUUUUUAACCAUUUGCUUUUUACUUUACGUUAAAAAAAAGGCAAAUAUGGAUUCCACACUCCCUGGC
ensembl:lncRNA